rfam:Oryza nivara chromosome 2, whole genome shotgun sequence.
AGUAAGUGCAGUUUUGCACUAUUCACGUUUAACGUUUGACCGUUCGUCUUAUUAGAAAUUUUUUAUGAUUAGUAUUUUUAUUACUAUUAGAUAAUAAAACAUGAAUAGUAAUUUAUAUGUGACUAAUUUUUUUUUUAAUUUUUUCAUAAAUUUUUCAAAUAAGAUGGAUGGUUAAAGGUUGGACACGGAUAUCCACGGCUGCACUUAUU